GAUGAACGCUGGCGGCGUGCCUAACACAUGCAAGUCGAGCGAUUCUCUUCGGAGAAGAGCGGCGGACGGGUGAGUAACGCGUGGGUAACCUGCCCUGUACACACGGAUAACAUACCGAAAGGUAUGCUAAUACGAGAUAAUAUGCUUUUAUCGCAUGGUAGAAGUAUCAAAGCUUUUGCGGUACAGGAUGGACCAGCGCCUGAUUAGCUAGUUGGUAAGGUAACGGCUUACCAAGGCGACGAUCAGUGGCCGACCUGAGAGGGUGAUCGGGCACAUUGGGACUGAGACACGGUCCAAACUCCAGCGGGAGGCAGCAGUGGGGAAUAUUGCACAAUGGGCGAAAGCCUGAUGCAGCAACGCCGCGUGAGCGAUGAAGGCCUUCGGGUCGUAAAGCUCUGUCCUCAAGGAAGAUAAUGACGGUACUUGAGGAGGAAGCCCCGGCUAACUACGUGCCAGCCGCCGCAGUAA
rnacentral:rRNA from 1 species